rnacentral:lncRNA from 1 species
UCUUUGAUCUUACAGUUCUCUGCCACGUUUCUAAAAUCCCAGAAAGUAGACUCAUCUCUGAUAGCACCUCCAAGCUUUUCUUCAUUUGACAUCAGUUCAUUAAAAUCUCCAGCCAACAACCACACUUCGUCUCGUACUAGACCAAUAUCAGUAAGCCGAGCCCAGACCUCCUAACGCUUGCUCCUCACAGGAUCACCAUACACACAGGUGAGAAAGAAGGAGAUUGAACAAAAGGUAACCUUCACAUCAAUAAUUAUCUUAUCGCAGCUCAACACUGCCACAUCAAAGUUCGACUUCCACAUCAACGCCAAACCA